AUGUUCAAGUCGGCGAGGUGGCGCGGCGCCGGCAAGGCCAAGGCCGUGUUCAAGCUCCAGUUCCACGCCACCCAGGUGCCGGAGCUGGGGUGGGAGUCCAUGACGGUGGUGGUGACGCCGCAGGACGUCGGCCGGCCCACGGCGCGGACGGAGCGCGCGGAGGUCGCCGACGGCGCCUGCCGCUGGCCCGCCCCGAUCUUCGAGGCCACCAAGCUCCCCUCCGCCAAGGCGGCCGCCGGCGACAAGAUCUACCAGUUCCUCGUCUACGAGACCGGGUCGGCCAAGGCGGCGUUGCUGGGGGAGGCGACGGUGAACAUGGCCGAGUACGCGGAGGCGUUCAAGCCGUCGGCGGUGACGCUCCCCCUCAAGGGCAGCCCCGCGCCCGGCGCGCUGCUGCACGUGACCAUCCAGCGGGUGGUGGGUGGUGCCGGCGGUGGGUGCGGUGACGACGGGAGUGAGAACGGCGACACAGCAAAGUCUUCGCCGCGGAGGACGCUGCAGAGCCAGCUGAGCCGGUGCGAGGACGAGGAAGCCGAGAAGGCGAGGUCGCUUGCUGCCGAUUCGAUGAGCCCUGUGCAUGAUGGAUUGGUGAUCAGCAAACCACCAGGGAUGAGGUUUCCCUUGAGAAGAAAUAUGCCGGCAUCUGUUGAGCCGGCCGGCCACCUCCACAACGCCAAUGGCUUUGACGCCGUUUCGUUGUCGGGUUCAGAUGGGAGCUCAGGAAGAUUCACUCCCAAAACCAGUGCGAACAUGCAUAGCACAUUUCUUCAGGAUGCGACCAAUGUCCUCUCGCCUUUUGCCAACAACGCCACAUCGAGAAACCCAUUGAGCUCUGGUGACUGGUCAGGAAGCUCAGCUCCUGAUGCUAGCACCGAUGGGUCGACGAGCAACUCGGGUGAGACGGGGUUGAGAGGUGCAGAGGAUGAUGUAGAGAAGCUGAGAAGUGAGAUAGGGACUUUGACAAGAAAACUGGAUGUCUCAGACAUGGAGUUGCAGACACUCAGAAAGCAAAUUGUUAAAGAGAGUAGGCGAGGGCAAGAUCUUUCCAAGGAAAUGAGUAGCUUGAGGGAUGAGAGGGAUGCACUCCGAAGAGAAUGUGAAGGCCUUAGAGGAAUGAGGAAGACGAUCCAUGAUGCAAAUGGAUCAGGUAAACGGUUGUCAGAUGGGGAAGAUCCCUGGUCUCAGGUUGAGGAGCUGAAGCAAGAGCUGGGCCAUGAGAAGAAUUUAAAUGCAGAUCUACGUGUACAGCUACAGAAAAUGCAGGAGUCCAACUCUGAGCUGCUUCUGGCUGUGAAGGAUCUUGAUGAAAUGCUCGAGCAGAAGAAUAGAGAUAUGUCCAUUUUGCAAGAAGAAACAGUAGAGGAUCCCCAGGAGGCAGAAUAUGAGCAUGCACUGUCAAAUGUGCACAGUGCUGGACACAAGAUGGACAUGUCUGAAACAAGCUCGUACCAAGAGAAAGAAGACGAGCUUAUGUUGGAUGCAUUGGUGAAGAAGAGUGAUGGCGUCGCUAGUUCUGAACUACAAGAGAAGAUUCUUGAACUGAGUGAUGAAAUCGAGCUGUACAAGAAAGACCGUGAGGAUCUUGAGAUGCAAAUGGAGCAGCUUGCACUUGAUUAUGAGAUUCUGAAGCAAGAGAACCAUGACAUCUCUUCAAGGCUGGAACAAACACAACUGAGAGAGCAGCUAAGGAUGCAGUACGAGUGUUCAGCACAUUUAUCUAUAAUAAGUGAUCUUGAGGCCAAUGUCGAGAACCUGGAGAAUGAACUCCAGGAACAAUCUCAAAGAUUAGAGGCUGAUAUAGCAGAAGUACUGGCUGCAAAGGUUGAGCAAGAGCAGAGGGCCAUAAAGGCCGAGGAGUCUCUGAGGAAGGCACGGUGGAACAAUGCUACCACUGCCGAACGACUUCAGGAGGAAUUCAAGAGUUUAUCUUCACAAGUAUCUUCUGCUUUCAGUGCCAAUGAACAGCUGCUUGUGCAAGCAAGAAAAGAGGCAGCAGAACUACAGUUGCAGAAGAGCCAGUUGGAAGAAUUACUGCAGAAGGCCCACGAAGAUGCCGCAUCAGUCCAAGAACAACACCGGGUGAAGAUUCAGCAGUUACUUACCCUAGUGGAUUUCAAGUCAAACGAGAUAGAUAGGCUGGUGGUGGAGCUCAAGAGCAAGAGCGACGAGUUCGAGAACCAGAAGAGAAGUGAUGAGUCAAAGUUAAAUGAUCUAUCAGAAGAAAUUGAACAGCUCAAAGCCAAGAUUGACAAGCUAUCAGAUGAGAGAGACAAACUCGUGGAAAGGAAUGAGCAGAAAGACAUGGAAUUGGCUGCAAAUGGUGAAAAGGACAUGGUCUUGCAAGACAAAACUGCUGAAAUUACUUUGCUCAAUAAAGAGCUUGCAUUGCUCAAGGACCAAAUGCAGACAUAUUUGGAGGAGCUAAACACUCUGAAACGCUCCAAGAGUGAAAGGGAUGAGACAAUAGGGAAGCUACAAAUAACUAUUGGAUCGUUGAAACUCCAGUACGACAAUAUGAAGAACUCGUUGUCCACAAAGGAGGCUGAGAAAAGCAACCUUGCUUCUCAGGUGCUGAAGCUGAGAAGAGCCCUUGAAAGCAGGGAAGGUGCCAAGGAAAAUGGUGUCACUUCAGAUACAACGGAUAAUCAGCACACUAAUUCGAAGCGCAUCAAGCACGACACCGUCAGCACUGUGAGCGGUGACGCCACGCCAAGCGCCAACGGACACAGCAAUGGCCACGACACGAGGGGUGCUGCUGAGCAGUCCUCAAAGGAGCUGGAGUCUCUGAAGGAGAUGAACAAGGCGAUGCAGCAAGAGCUGAACGAGCUGCACGAGCGGUAUUCGGAGAUAAGCCUCAAGUUCGCGGAGGUGGAAGGUGAGAGGCAGCAGCUGGUGAUGACGGUGCGGACGCUGAAGAACUCGCUGAGAUGA
rnacentral:rRNA from 1 species